AGUGGCGCAGCUAACGCGAUAAGUAGACCGCCUGGGGAGUACGGUCGCAAGACUAAAACUCAAAUGAAUUGACGGGGGCCCGCACAAGCGGUGGAGCAUGUGGUUUAAUUCGAUGCAACGCGAAGAACCUUACCUGGCCUUGACAUACUAGAAACUUUCCAGAGAUGGAUUGGUGCCUUCGGGAAUCUAGAUACAGGUGCUGCAUGGCUGUCGUCAGCUCGUGUCGUGAGAUGUUGGGUUAAGUCCCGCAACGAGCGCAACCCUUUUCCUUACUUGCCAGCAUUUCGGAUGGGAACUUUAAGGAUACUGCCAGUGACAAACUGGAGGAAGGCGGGGACGACGUCAAGUCAUCAUGGCCCUUACGGCCAGGGCUACACACGUGCUACAAUGGUCGGUACAAAGGGUUGCUACACAGCGAU
rnacentral:rRNA from 1 species